rnacentral:rRNA from 1 species
AUUGAACGCUGGCGGCAGGCCUAACACAUGCAAGUCGAACGAGUGGCGGACGGGUGAGUAAUGUCUGGGAACCUGCCUGAUGGCGGGGGAUAACUACUGGAAACGGUAGCUAAUACCGCAUACCAUCGGAUGUGCCCAGAUGGGAUUAGCUAGUUGGUGGGGUAAAGGCUCACCUAGGCGACGAUCCCUAGCUGGUCUGAGAGGAUGACCAGCCACACUGGAACUGAGACACGGUCCAGACUCCUACGGGAGGCAGCAGUGGGGAAUAUUGGACAAUGGGGGAAAGCCUGAUGCAGCCAUGCCGCGUGUAUGAAGAAGGCCUUCGGGUUGUAAAGUACUUUCAGCAGGGAAGCGUUACCCGCAGAAGAAGCACCGGCUAACUACGUGCCAGCAGCCGCGGUAAUAC